rnacentral:rRNA from 1 species
GACGAACGCUGGCGGCGCGCUUAACACAUGCAAGUCGAACGGAAAGGCCUGCUUUCCCUUGUGGAUUGCGGGUACUCGAGUGGCGAACGGGUGAGUAACACGUGAGUGAUCUGCCCCCAACUUGGGUAUAAGCCUGGGAAACUGGGUCUAAUUCCCGAUAGGACUGCAGGGUGGUGCCUGUGGUGGAAAACGAUUUUCUAGUGGUUGGGGAUGAGCUCGCGGCCUAUCAGCUUGUUGGUGGGGUAAUGGCCUACCAAGGCGGCGACGGGUAGCCGGCCUGAGAGGGUGGACGGCCACAUUGGGACUGAGAUACGACCCAGACUCCUACGGGAGGCAGCAGUGGGGAAUAUUGCACGAUGGGCGGAAGCCUGAUGCAGCGACGCCGCGUGGGGGAUGACGGCCUUCGGGUUGUAAACUCCUUUCGACCGCGAGGAAGCCACCUGGUUGGGAGGGUGGUGACGGUAGUGGUAGAAGAAGCACCGGCUAACUACGUG